GAGAGAUAAAACGCAAGAACUGCUAACUCACGCACCUGAAGUUGAAACCCUCAGAUCUCUCA
rnacentral:tRNA from 1 species